AAGUGCGAAUGCUGACAUAAGUAACGAUAAAACGGGUGAAAAACCCGUUCGCCGGAAGACCAAGGGUUCCUGUCCAACGUUAAUCGGGGCAGGGUGAGUCGGCUCCUAAGGCGAGGCUGAAAAGCGUAGUCGAUGGGAAACAGGUUAAUAUUCCUGUACUUGGUAAAGCUGCGAUGUGGGGACGGAGUAGGUUAGGUUAUCGCACUGUUGGAUAUGUGCGUUUAAGUUGGUAGGUGGGAAGUUUAGGCAAAUCCGGGCUUCCUUAACACAGAGAGAUGAUGACGAGGCUCUACGGAGCUGAAGUAACUGAUACCACACUUCCAGGAAAAGCCACUAAGCGAAAGGCUUUACUAAACCGUACUGAAAACCGACACAGGUGGUCAGGUAGAGAAUACUCAGGCGCUUGAGAGAACUCGGGUGAAGGAACUAGGCAAAAUAGCACCGUAACUUCGGGAGAAGGUGCGCCGGCGUAGAUUGUAAGGGCUAGCCCCUGAAGGUUGAACCGGUCGAAGAUACCAGCUGGCUGCAACUGUUUAUUAAAAACACAGCACUCUGCAAACACGAAAGUGGACGUAUAGGGUGUGAUGCCUGCCCGGUGCUGGAAGGUUAAUUGAUGGUGUAAUCGCAAGAGAAGCACCUGAUCGAAGCCCCAGUAAACGGCGGCCGUAACUAUAACGGUCCUAAGGUAGCGAAAUUCCUUGUCGGGUAAGUUCCGACCUGCACGAAUGGCAUAAUGAUGGCCAGGCUGUCUCCACCCGAGACUCAGUGAAAUUGAAAUCGCCGUGAAGAUGCGGUGUACCCGCGGCUAGACGGAAAGACCCCGUGAACCUUUACUAUAGCUUGACACUGAACAUUGAAUUUUGAUGUGUAGGAUAGGUGGGAGACUUAGAAGUAGUCACGCCAGUGAUUAUGGAGUCGACCUUGAAAUACCACCCUUUAACGUUUGAUGUUCUAACGAAGAUGACGAAACGUGGUCUCGGACAGUGUCUGGUGGGUAGUUUGACUGGGGCGGUCUCCUCCCAAAGCGUAACGGAGGAGCACGAAGGUUUGCUAAUCACGGUCGGACAUCGUGAGGUUAGUGCAAUGGUAUAAGCAAGCUUAACUGCGAGACAGACAAGUCGAGCAGGUACGAAAGUAGGUCAUAGUGAUCCGGUGGUUCUGAAUGGAAGGGCCAUCGCUCAACGGAUAAAAGGUACUCCGGGGAUAACAGGCUGAUACCGCCCAAGAGUUCAUAUCGACGGCGGUGUUUGGCACCUCGAUGUCGGCUCAUCACAUCCUGGGGCUGAAGUAGGUCCCAAGGGUAUGGCUGUUCGCCAUUUAAAGUGGUACGCGAGCUGGGUUUAGAACGUCGUGAGACAGUUCGGUCCCUAUCUGCCGUGGGCGUAGGAGAAUUGAUUGGGGCUGCUCCUAGUACGAGAGGACCGGAGUGGACGCACCACUGGUGUUCCGGUUGUGUCGCCAGACGCAUUGCCGGGUAGCUAAGUGCGGAAGAGAUAAGUGCUGAAAGCAUCUAAGCACGAAACUUGCCAAGAGAUGAGUUCUCCCAAUCUAAGAGAUUGUAAGGGUUGUUGUAGACUACGACGUAGAUAGGUCUGGUGUGUAAGUGUAGUGAUA
rnacentral:rRNA from 1 species